rnacentral:lncRNA from 15 species
AUGACAAUGAAUAUAUUAUUGCACAAGUUAUUUUCCUGUGUAAGUGUGAGAGACAGAGGGAGGGACUUCACUGAUAUAGAUCUUGCUUGCACAGGAGGAAGAAACAUUUCUUUGCAGCUUGACUCAAAACUGUUUCUACCUCAUGGUUGGAUUCAUGAAGCAACUCCUGUCUGCCAUCCUGUCUGUUCAGACAUGUAUUCUACAAUCCUGCUGAUUUUACUUCUAUCUGAAACCAUAGUUGGUCAGAUCUCAGGGCAGUUCCUCAGUGCCACUGUUGGAGGCUCCGUCCUGAUCCCCUGCUCUCUACCAGUUCAUCCACUGAGACUCAGAUGGUUUUACUGGCAGGAGGACCAGUCCAACAACAUCUUGUUUGACUGGGACACCAGUGGGAAACCACUGCCAGUAGCUGACAAAUACAAGAACAGAUGCCACGCCACCCCUACUCAGUUUAGUUCUGGAAAUAUUUCCAUUAAACUUGACAAUGUUACUGUUGGAGAUGACAAGAAAACAUUUUGGGCCUAUGUAAAUUUAAUGGACGAGAAAAAAGUCACCAAACCGUCUGAACGACAUUGCACAUUCACACUGCAGGUUUCAGCUCCUUUCCAGAACCCAAACAUUGAGAUAAACCAAACAGAGAUGAUAGCAACCUGCAGCACAAAUGGAGGAUACCCUGAACCUGAACUCAAAUGGAGCGGGGAUGGAGGGACUAAACUGGAACCACAAAAAACCACAAUGACUCCUGAAGCAGACCUCACCUACAACAUCAGCAGCAGAGUCAACGUCACUGGGUUACAGAACGUGAUCUGCACAGUUUACAACCCAACUUCAAACCAGACUCUGACUGCAACUAAAGAUGUGUUACCAGGUGGGGACCCGCAGUGGAAAUAUUGGCCUAUUUUAAUUGUGAUCCUUAUCCUCAUCGUCAUCGGCAUAUGUGUGUAUUGUGAGUGAUCUUUUGUUUAUGCUGCAUUGUAACUGCUAUUUUAUCAUCAGCUGGUGAAAAUGAAUUACCUCAGAUAUCACACAGAAACCUUUUGACCUGAUAUGGACAAACACAACUAGGCUGAAAGUAUGAAACUACACUGGAGGUUAAGCACGGACUAAAUUGUAAAUUAUUGUAUCCUGUUGUCAGACAAAUUCCUGUAAACUAUGGACUGUAAAUAAUAAUCAAACUUCAUUAACUUUUUAUCAAACAAACUGGUUCAAGUGGAUAAGAAAUCUGAGCGAACACACACUGCAGUUUAUCUGAAAAUCCUGGUUCUUUAAAGAGUCAGAGUCGGGGGCCCGGUUAGCUCAGUAGGUAGAGUUGGUGACCCAUAUGUGGAGUUGCUGCAGCGGCCUGGUUUUGAGUCUGACCUGUAGCCCUUUGCUGCGUGUCAUCCCCUCUCUCUCUGCCCCCCUUUCCUGUCUGUCUUCGGCUGUCACUAUACAAUAAAGGCAAAAAAAUAACUUAAAAAAAAGAGUCAGAGUGCAGUAUAUUAAUAUUAAGACAUUGUUUAUGGACUAGCACUACACUGCUGGGGUUGUUUGUAUCAUCAUGACAUAAAAAUUCUCCUUAAUUCCAGAUAAAAGGCGUAACCGGAAUCCACAAAACCAAAGAAAUGGUACUGAUCCUCAGCGCAGUGUUGCAGGACGAAAUCAGCCUGAGGAGAAUAUUCCACUGAGGAGGAGGAAUGGUGCUGAAAGCUCGACUGAUGAAGAUGCAGCUUCUGGUGGAGGUGCUUCUGGUGGUGGUGGUGCAGAACAUGACAAAAGCAGUUAAAUGGAGAUUUAAUUUUAUUUAUUUAUUUAUUUAUUUAUCUAGUAAUACAUUUCCAUCUAUUUUAUUACUUGCUAAAUCAUCUCUUUCUAAUCUGUCCUCCGGUGUUUCCUCUCUGCAAAUUGAAGAGAUAGAGUUCCCUUGUGUCAUUGUGGGUGGUGUUAUCAUUGAGUUUUUUAUUGAUUACAGUUAUUACUUUGUGUGUAUGGGGUUGUUGUUAGGGUGUGAAGCAAUUUGUUUUAUUUUUGUGUGUACUAUCACACACACACACACACACACACACACACACACACACACACACACACACACACACUGUGUGACUAUACAAAUAAAGUAUGAAUCAUAACUGGGAUCAGAACUGGUGCUGGAAGGGAGGCAAAACAGGAGUUAAAGAACUACAGUAGUUUGAACUGGUAUCAAACUUUUCAGAUGUAAUUUUAAAAAUAACGUUACAGAAAGAAACUAACUGAUCAACACCUCAGACGUGUGCUUUAUCAAUAUCAGGUGCUAUUUUCUACAGAUGUUCAGUUACUUGGGUCCAAAGAACCACAACUGUUUAAAUGGUUGAAUUAUUUUUGUUUUUGCUAUAAAUGUCUGACAGUGUCCUUGUUAAUAUGUAACUGCAAACAUUUUAUGUCCUUUAUCUUGAAUUUAAUUUUCAAUUUCAAUUGUAAAGUUUUACAACAGUAUAAAGGUUUUAAGAGAAAAAUGAACAUAAUAAUAAUAAUUGAUGAGAUAGUGUUUCCUCAGUUUGUGUUUUUUGUGAGUGCGGUUAUCAUUGAAUGUUUUACAUUUAUCAGUUUUGUUUGUAUGUAAAGUGUAUACUACAGUGUAUGUAACUAUACAAAUAAAGUGUGACUGAUUGAUUGAUGUAUGUUAUUAAACCUCUGUACAAUAGACGUGUUGUGGUUUAUCUGAGGUCCGUGUAUCUUUUGGUCAUUGGAUUUUCCUUUCAGUAACGGGUAUUAAAAAACAGAAAACGAGUGGUUAUUUGAUUUUCGUUUUAAAAUACAAAAAUUAAAAUUGAAAUACAAGGCGUUUUUCUUUUUCAUGGUCAAAAAGGGAUGAGCAAAAUUAAAAAAAAUAUUCGAUUUUCAUUUUCUAUUUCAUAUAACAAAAAAUAAAAUCACUAGAAAACAGAAACAGAAAAAAGGCCUGUUUUUAUUCUGAGACCGGAUGUUGUCAUUUACAGGAGGGUGCUGUGUAGAAGAAACAGUAGGCUAAUAGACUGCGGUCAAUCCAGCCGUGAGUCCGAUCUCCGUGGUCAAAUCAGCCGCACUUAAAUUUAGAGUGUACAAGUAUUCUCAGCAUUAUGGUAAAUGCGGAGAAACAGCGUAUUUACUUCCGGCUCUAUGGGGUUUUGGGUGGGUGACUGUUCUAAAGAAAGCGCAGAGAAGUGUGUAAGACAGCAGCUCUGCUUCCUGGUCCUAACUCUGGACUGUCAGGUUUUAGAAAUAAACUUCGCCAUAUUUCUAGAUAAGAGAGCCGCUCCAUCCAAAGUGGGGUGGAUGCUGUCUCUCCUAAUCAGACCAGGUUUUCCCCAAAAAGGCUUCCAGUUAUCAAUGAAGCCCACAUCGUUUUCUAGACAUCACCUCGACAGCCAGCGGUGGAAGUCCGACAUGCGGCUAUACAUGUCAUCACUGGUCACAUUGGGCAGGGGUCCAGAGAAAACUACGGAGUCCGACAUAGUUUUAGCAUAAUUACACGCUGACUCCACACACACACACACACACACACACACACACACACACACACACACACACACUCAAACUUAUGUUAGAGUUUGUAGGUGUCAGUGUACAUCACAAUAUUGCAUCACCUUUGUAUGUGUGACUUUUGGGAAGAGAGGAGACCACAGACUCACUCUCUCUGUCACACACACACACACAGCUUACAAAUUUUAAUUUAGUCUUAAAUUAACUUAAAUAUUGGCUUUUAAUAUUGAAUAUAAUGGCUUUAUUCUGUGCUUCCAAGUAUUUCCAUUUACUAAACAUACCCUUUUUAAUCACUUGGAUGAAGCACUUAAUAACAGUGGAGCUAGUAACUCAAAAAAAUAAAUUUCUUACUCAUUUAAAAAGUAAUAUUAUUACUUUACUCAAUCCCUGCUAACAGUAACUAGCUACACUAUUAGUUAUAUUACUUUUCUGCUACUCCCUAAAAAAUAGGGAAUAGUGUAUUAUUACUAAAAUUAAUUAGUAAUUAGUUACACUACUAGUUAAUGGGGAUAGUAAUGUUAUUAAUGAAAUAUUAUUAGUAAUGAGUUAAUGCCCAACACUGCUUAACAAUUAUGUAAGCCCAUUACUUCCUCAAUCCACUUGAUUCACAUCCAUGUGACACACACACACACACACACACACACACACACACACACACACACACACACACACACACACACACACACACUGCAGUUACGGUCAUACAACCUUAGUUGUAAGUGGUACCCUUUCAUUACUUCUUGUAAAUUAUAACUUUUAUGUUGUUCUUCUAAUUCUCACAACUUCUGGGAAGAGGGGAGACCACAGACUCACUGUCUGUCUCACACACUGACACACACACACACACAAACACACACAUAUGUUAGAGUUUGUAAGUGUCAAUGUACAUCACAAUAUUGCAUCACCUUU